rnacentral:misc_RNA from 1 species
CAACCCUUAAGCCUAGCUUAGUGUUGGGAGUCUACGAGUGGGCCACGCUACCCUGUAGCGUGGUUACCCUGUAGUUCCUGAAAAACAACGGCGGAUUUAUAGUAUCCUCUGAGCGUAGUAAUUUUUUAUCUCGCUUUUGUCAGGUGCUGUGACUUCGGCCGCUAAACCCCCAAUUUUUAAU